rnacentral:rRNA from 1 species
UACGUAGGGAGCGAGCGUUGUCCGGAAUUACUGGGUGUGAAGGGAGCGUAGGCGGGAUCGCAAGUCAGGUGUGAAAUGCAGGGGCUCAACCCCUGAACUGCACUUGAAACUGUGGUUCUUGAGUGAAGUAGAGGUAAGCGGAAUUCCUAGUGUAGCGGCGAAAUGCGUAGAUACUAGGAGGAACAUCAGUGGCGAAGGCAGCUUACUGGGCUUUAACUGACGCUGAGGCUCGAAAGCGUGGGGAGCGAAC